rnacentral:rRNA from 1 species
UUCCGGUUGAUCCCGCCGGACCUGACUGCUAUCGGAUUGAUACUAAGCCAUGCGAGUCAUUGUAGUAAUACAAGGCAGACGGCUCAGUAACGCGUAGUCAACCUAACCUAUGGACGGGAAUAACCUCGGGAAACUGAGUAUAAUGCCCGAUAGAACAUUAUACCUGGAAUGGUUUAUGUUCCAAAUGAUUUAUCGCCGUAGGAUGGGACUGCGGCCUAUCAGUUUGUUGGUGAGGUAAUGGCCCACCAAGACUAUUACAGGUACGGGCUCUGAGAGGAGUGGCCCGGAGAUGGGUACUGAGACACGGACCCAGGCCCUAUGGGGCGCAGCAGGCGAGAAAACUUUGCAAUGUGCGAAAGCACGACAAGGUUAAUCCGAGUGGUUUCUGCUAAAGGAACCUUUUGUCGGUCCUAGAAACACUGGUGAAUAAGGGGUGGGCAAGUUCUGGUGUCAGCCGCCGCGGUAAAACCAGCACCUCAAGUGGUCAGGAUGAUUAUUGGGCCUAAAGCAUCCGUAGCCUGCUUUGUUAGUUUUCGGUUAAAUCCAUAUGCUCAACGUAUGGGCUGCCGGGAAUACUGCAAAGCUAGGGAGUGGGAGAGGUAGACGGUACUCGGUAGGAAGGGGUAAAAUCCUUUGAUCUAUUGAUGACCACCUGUGGCGAAGGCGGUCUACCAGAACACGUCCGACGGUGAGGGAUGAAAGCUGGGGGAGCAAACCGGAUUAGAUACCCGGGUAGUCCCAGCUGUAAACUAUGCAAACUCAGUGAUGCAUUGGCUUGAUGCCAAUGCAGUGCUGCAGGGAAGCCGUUAAGUUUGCCGCCUGGGAAGUACGUACGCAAGUAUGAAACUUAAAGGAAUUGGCGGGGGAGCACCACAAGGGGUGAAGCCUGCGGUUCAAUUGGAUUCAACGCCGGAA